GAUGAACGCUGGCGGCGUGCCUAAUACAUGCAAGUCGAGCGAACAGACGAGGAGCUUGCUCCUCUGACGUUAGCGGCGGACGGGUGAGUAACACGUGGAUAACCUACCUAUAAGACUGGGAUAACUUCGGGAAACCGGAGCUAAUACCGGAUAAUAUAUUGAACCGCAUGGUUCAAUAGUGAAAGACGGUUUUGAUGUCACUUAUAGAUGGAUCCGCGCCGCAUUAGCUAGUUGGUAAGGUAACGGCUUACCAAGGCAACGAUGCGUAGCCGACCUGAGAGGGUGAUCGCCCACACUGGAACUGAGACACGGUCCAGACUCCUACGGGAGGCAGCAGUAGGGAAUCUUCCGCAAUGGGCGAAAGCUUGACGGAGCAACGCCGCGUGAGUGAUGAAGGUCUUCGGAUCGUAAAACUCUGUUAUUAGGGAAGAACAAAUGUGUAAGUAACUAUGCACGUCUUGACGGUACCUAAUCAGAAAGCCACGGCUAACUACGUG
rnacentral:rRNA from 1 species